AAUGAAUCCUAUGUUAGGGACUUGAAUUUUGCUGUGGGAAUUUGAAAAACAUGGGAAGCUGCUCUCUGCCAAGCUAUUUCCUUAAGGAUCCACUUUACAUACUGCUGAAUCAAUGGCCUGUCAGGUGCAGUUACAUGCCAUAGUGAUGAUAUGAGGUCAAUCAAAUGAAACCAAGGCUGUUUCUGGAGCAUAUCCCUUUGUUCUGCAAGGCACAGGAUCGUGUACACAGCAGCAGGAGGGGGCUCAGUUUCCUGCUGCUGCUCAUGGGAGGAGGACUUCCCACCCCAGGAAAGAGAAGACCAGGGGAAACUUGAGAAGGCUGCGAUGACACUGGAGGCACAGCUUCAGGGCUUUUAGCACUAUGCGUCACAUUCGUGUGACCCAUGACCAACAUGUAAUGUUGUGCCUGACGCACGUGAAGAGCUCUGCCUCUCUGGAGAGCGUCACAGAGGCUGCAGGGGUCCGGAGCUGGCAGCCCCCUGGGGCAGACGACAGCACCCUGUGACACCUGGUGCGUCAUCUGCAGCUGAGCUCCCAGUAAGGUCAGGCAGGAGACUGAUAAAUGACCCCACCUUGUCAACACCACCGUCAUUAGUGCUGUUAUCACCCUGCGAAUGGGAACGUGAAGGAAUUCAUAUCCCUGCCCUUGCCAAAGCUGGAGAGCAAGUGGGAACAGGAGCUGUGGAGGUGACUGUUCACACCACUUACAUUCUCCUGCAAAGCAGCACAAUGUUUGGUUUGUUAACCAAAGGGAUUUUGUAGCUGAUCAUUAAAUAUUAUUUCAGAUUAAUGGAAUUUAUAGGCUGUCUGAUGACGAUGAGAUUUCUUUCAAAGGAGGGACAAAAGACUUCAGCAUGCACUGGCAUGGCUAGAACACUAACAAAUCACUAGCGUGGUGGAAAGCCCAGAAAUGCUCUCAUGCCCCUUUUCUCAUGCAGCCUGUCUGAACUAACAGCACAUCCAAAAGCGGCAGGUAAUGUAGCCUGCACAGGGGCUGGAAAU
ensembl:lncRNA